GCUUUCUGCUGCGAAUGCCAAGUGGAUGGUAUGCAAGUCUGGAGCUGUUCCUGGCUUGUUCUGUGAAAACUUACUGGAGAAUGAAGCCAAUUAGAAGAGAUGCAUUUGAGCAAUGAAGAAAGAAGUUUCCUGAGGACAUUGAGCAUCUGGAUCCAGCUGCAGCUGAAACUGAUCCUACCCUAGGACUUUGCAGGUUUGUCAAAGAUCAUCUAGAAUUUUAAGAAGGUGGCAGACUGGCAGAUGUGACCCACGACCACAUGAGGAGAACAGAAGAGAUGGUGGCAUCAUGAGACUAGUUGGAGACAGUCAGGAAUUAUCCCUUAAGUUUCCUGCGACUCCCAAGUGGCUAAGUCUCCCUCUAAGAGUAAAAAACAUGCUGCCAUCAAAUAUAUAGUGAGCAUGUGUCAAAUAUCAAUCUAACUCAUUUAAUGAAGAGACCAGAAAGAUAAUAAAUCUGGUUGAAGGAGAAUUCAAGGAACAGAGAGCUUCCGCUGCUUCAAAACGGCGUGCAGGAGUCAGAGACAUUACAUCAGGAAGAUACUGCAGAGAUAUUCUACUCCAUCUCAUUCAUUGUACAGAUUCUAAACUCCCUGAAGGAGACAAAUUACCAGUGGACAAGAACACAGCCUCUGGAGUCCAAUAGGCCUGGUGCAUUCAUUAGGGUAAGUGGUGCUAGGUGCUAUAACAGAUAAACCUCAAAUUAUUUGUGACUUCACACAAUAUAACCUUAUUUCUUCACUCAUAUGAAGUCGUUUUUAGUACACAUUGCCAUUUAUGGACAUAGGCUCUUACCUUCUCAUGAUUCUUUGCUGCUUAAUCUGGCUAGAGUGGUUUCCUGAUGUACACAGUGACAAACUCAGAGAGACACAGCUACUUACUAGAUUGAGCUAUAAGAAACUGAUGACAUAUGAACAUAAAUACUGUCUACAAAAUGGCAGUUUCACAUGAUUAAACCUAACUUCACAUGUGAUUUUGAGCAAGGGACUCUCUAAAUCCAUUUCUUUAGCUAUAAAAUGGGGUACCAAUACUCAUUCCCUCCAAGGAGAUUAUAAAGAUCAAAUAAGAGGAUGUAUGCAAAGAACUUCGCAUACAGGCUGACACAGAGUCAGUAACUCAAACAGGUUAGGUAUGAUUUACCCAAUGCCUAGCACAGACUCUCUGGCACAUACUAGCUAUUCUUUAAUUAUAUAUAUGCAUGUAUGUAUGUAUAAAUUGAGAUA